rnacentral:rRNA from 1 species
CCUACGGGAGGCAGCAGUGGGGAAUAUUGCACAAUGGGGGAAACCCUGAUGCAGCGACGCCGCGUGAGUGAAGACGUAUCUCUGUAUUUAAAGCUCUAUCAGCAGGGAAGAAAAUGACGGUACCUGAUUAAGAAGCCCCUGCUAACUACGUGCCAGCAGCCGCGGUAAUACCUAGGGGGCAAGCGUUAUCCGGAUUUACUGGGUGUAAAGGGAGCGUAGACGGGAGGACAAGUCUGGAGUGAAAUGCCGGGGCUUAACCCCGGAACUGCUUUGGAGACUGUGGAGCUAGAGUGCAGGAGAGGUAAGCGGAAUGCCUGGUGUAGCGGUGAAAUGCGUAGAUAUUA